rnacentral:rRNA from 1 species
GACGAACGCUGGCGGCGUGCUUAACACAUGCAAGUCGAACGGAAAGGCCCUGCUUUUGUGGGGUGCUCGAGUGGCGAACGGGUGAGUAACACGUGAGUAACCUGCCCUUGACUUUGGGAUAACUUCAGGAAACUGGGGCUAAUACCGGAUAGGAGCUCCUGCUGCAUGGUGGGGGUUGGAAAGUUUCGGCGGUUGGGGAUGGACUCGCGGCUUAUCAGCUUGUUGGUGGGGUAGUGGCUUACCAAGGCUUUGACGGGUAGCCGGCCUGAGAGGGUGACCGGCCACAUUGGUACUGAGGUACGGCCCAGACGGCUACGGGAGGCAGCGGUGGGAAGUAUUGCGCAGUAGGCGGAAGCCUGUUACAGCAGCGCCGCGUGCGGGAUGACGGCCUUCGGGGUGUAAACCGCUUUCGCCUGUGACGAAGCGUGAGUGACGGUAAUGGGUAAAAAAGCACCGGCUAACUACGUG